UUUAUUAGUAGUAUUUUCUUAGUAUACUUACUGAUAUUGUAGAUUUUAGUGCCUUUGAUAGAAAAUUAGUUAAACUUUUAAAAAUUUGACUUAUGACAAAGUUACAGCACGUGACAAGCGCAUUGAUAGGAAAAACGGAGAAUCACAAAAAGAAGAUGGAUUUACUUAUUACAGAGAAAACACAUACAGAACACACUGGAGAUUGCAAUUUUAGAUGGCGACGAAUUUGGCAGCUGCCAUUGCCCUGACAAAUCGAGAUGUUCUUGUUGGCGGAGUUGCUGAUAAUUCUGUGGCUCUUGAAGCAAACUUUCUGCGGGGGUGCUGUGUGGACGAUGUGAUGAGGACGGUGCCCUUUCGAUCAUAAGUAAAAAAAAGUUGAAGAGCUUUGGCGGGCGAUGGAUUUGGAGCCUUCGAAGAAAGUUUUGAGAAAAUACGAAAAGAGACGCCUGUGGCACAAACAAACGGCUAAUGUCAGGUUAGGGGAUUAAUGAACCUGGAUUAAUUAGGUCAGGGUCUGAAAUCAGGGGAUUAGGGGGUGAGGGUUUGAUUGAGACGAUCCGUACAAGUCCAGGGUUGAAAAUGGACUAUUAUUUUCGUUAAUGUCAGGUUAGGGGAUUAAUGAACCAGGAUUAAUUAGGUCAGGGUCCGAAAUCACGGGAUUAGGAGGUGAGGGUUUGAUUCAGAGGAUCCGUACAAGUUCAGGGUUGAAAAUGGACUAUUAUUUUCGUUAGGUGUAACUCUGAUUUCUUUC